AAUUAUGAGGCAGGAGAAUGGGGUGUUUUGAUUUGUGUUCUUUGAGGAUUAGCCAAGCGCCCCACUGCCAAAUCCGCGAUCACCUGAAAGGAAAUCUGAAGGAAGAACCUGCCAGGGUUUCAGGAAAAGGGAUGAUGCUAGCAAUAUUAAAUAAAGCAACUGGGGAAGAAAAUUCAAGAAAACUUAUGCUGAUGGUUGUACCACAAGCCAGGUGGAGCAGAGACAGGAUGGACUUGGAAAAGAAGCAUAUGGACAUUUAUAACUCUGUUUCAAGAGCCUGUGGAUGCCCUGAAUGGCCCGUUUUAAAAAAUAACAUAUGAGUUCGCCUGAACCUGCCGUAAACAGAUUUUGAUACAUAUUACGCAUUAUCCAAAACAUGUACAGAAUGCAGCACUAUACCAUAUUCACAUGACCUAAAUAAUAAAAUAUAAAAAGGUGUACAGAGAAAAACCUC